AAAAACCAAAAUCAAUAACAAACUUAUGCUUACCAGAAUAUGGUUACCUACAUGUACCAGCCAAAAUACCAUCUCAUUUGUACCAUGUGACGGGAGCCCAGCUUGUUUUUGCUUAGCCGAAACAAUUCUUAAGCCGAAGAACCCAAUUUCAUAGAACUGCUUGCUAAAAAUAAAAUGAUGCUCUUCAAAUUAAUCUGCUGAAAGAAAAUAGAAGGGAACCGGUUACAAAGAGUUUACAUGUGAGACAAUUGCUGUUUUGGCUAGUAACCCGAUUCUACCUGAAGUGGGCAUUACAGCUCUAUUUUAUGUCAGGUUCUCAUUUUGAUACAAAACAAAUUAUCCUGACCAGAUAGUCCAGAAAGAAUUAUUCAACCAUUUUGAAGUUUUUGUCUUUUGUGAGAAUAUGACCUUAUUUCUCUUUAUUUGAAAUGAUUACAUCUUGCAAAAAUGUAUGUUCUUGAAUACAGUUGAAGCCUUAACUAUUUCUAUAUAUAAUAUAUUUGUGAAGCCUGCUUACUGUUUUAAAAGAAUAAAACAAACUAUAUUCUUCCUUUGA